CAUCAAAUAGCUUAAAGUAAGCACAAGCCUCUUAAGCUUAGAGAUAUCAGAAAUACGCCUGAUUUUGGUGA
rnacentral:tRNA from 1 species